UUAUCGUCUGCUGUAAGAAUUUUUUAAGGUACAGUAUAUUUAAUCAAUUUUUUUUUUUAAAUGUAUAGCAUUAGCGUCAAUUUAACAUUGUGGCAAGUGUUGAAUGUUUGUAUACACGUUCAAUUAUUUCUUCGCUAUAACAGAAGGAUGAAAUCGCGGUUAUUUGACUGUUUGAUACUUUUAUUUUAUAUUACGUUUGCCAUCGUGGCAACGGAUCUCGUCUACUUCGGAUUUGAGCAAGAAGAGUGCAAUGAAACGUUAGCUAAUAUAUUUUCAAUAUUAAUCGUUUCUGGCGUCUGCUGGUCUUUUCUAGAUGCAUUUACAUUCUACGAUAAAGAAGAACGUCGUUGCUCCAGAGCUCCUAGAUACAUUCGUCCAUUGCAUAAAAAUUGUUGCUUGGAAUUACGGAAUAAGUGAACCUACUAUUACGAACUGAAAAUAUUUUUGUGAAGAAAAAUUGGAAGAAUAUAUUGCUCCAUCGUAUUGUAUUCUUUAAGGAAACGAAACGAAUUUAUAUGAGAAUAAUUAAUCACUAUUGUUUUAUAUAUGAGAAGAAAAACUUUUUACUUUGUUUUAUAAAAACAAUUUUUUUUUUUAAUUGGAACACAGCCAUUAAGCUAAAGAAGUUUUCUAGUUUAGAAAUGAAUUUCCUGGCAGCUAGCAAAUAAAAAUUUUAUACAGGUUUAUUGUUAUAAAUAAUCUGAUAUAUACUGUAUAAAUUCUUAUUAAUAUAAUAAUCUGUAAGAAUUGUUCUUGCUAAAGAAGGUUUACUUAAACAUAAUACUGUAUCAAACAAUACUUCAAAAAUAGUGAAAGUCUAGUUUUUAUAGUUAUGUGUAAACUAUAUUUUGUCGUUCUGUUAAAUUUUUUUCUGCAAUAUUAAGACAUUAGUUAGCGCGAAAAUCUAUAAUG